UGUUGGCUUAGAAGCAGCCAUCAUUUAAAGAAAGCGUAAUAGCUCACUAGUCGAGUCGGCCUGCGCGGAAGAUGUAACGGGGCUAAACCAUGCACCGAAGCUGCGGCAGCGACACUAUGUGUUGUUGGGUAGGGGAGCGUUCUGUAAGCCUGCGAAGGUGUGCUGUGAGGCAUGCUGGAGGUAUCAGAAGUGCGAAUGCUGACAUAAGUAACGAUAAAGCGGGUGAAAAGCCCGCUCGCCGGAAGAC
rnacentral:rRNA from 1 species